rnacentral:rRNA from 1 species
CACGUAGGGGGCGAGCGUUGUCCGGAUUUAUUGGGCGUAAAGAGCUCGUAGGCGGCUCGGUAAGUCGGGUGUGAAAUCUCGGAGCUUAACUCCGAAACUGCAUUCGAUACUGCCGUGCUUGAGGACUGGAGAGGAGACUGGAAUUUACGGUGUAGCGGUGAAAUGCGUAGAUAUCGUAAGGAAGACCAGUGGCGAAGGCGGGUCUCUGGACAGUUCCUGACGCUGAGGCACGAAGGUCAGGGGAGCAAACGGG